GAGACGUUCGGGGCCGCAAGGUCCGGGAGCUCGUGCUUGAGUCUGUGUAGCUGAGCGAGUGUGAGGAACGGGGUGGAGCCGGGCGGCUUGCUGGCGCUGGCAGCGUUGGUGGUGAAUGGAGAGAGACUCGACCAUACGUGUACAAGUAUCUGUUCUCCCUGACCUCCCCUCCCAUGUAACACUGAGCAGAGUCCUGUGUGCUAUACAGAGUUUUAUAGAGUCCUGUCUCAUGACCUCAAGGAGGGUUCAUGCCAAGGGCACCUCCCGGGACUGUAGCUACUGGUGCCCCCAUCCCACAGCGAGCCACUGCCAACCCACGCCUCCGCAGGAGACCCUCCAGCACUAGCAGAUUCCACAAUUCCUUGGUCCUGGAGACUCUUUCUAAGUCUGAUCCUGCUGGACAGGCAAGAUGGCAGAAUCAGACCACCUGCUGUGGUAUCUAGAAAAGCUUAAUAAAAAGGAAUUUAUUAGAUGGAAGAUCCACCUUGGACAAAAACAUGUGGAGCUCGGACUGCCAGAGAUCCCAACACUCGAUCUAAGGACAACCAAAGAAGACCUGAUCAACCUGUUGAUGACCUCUUACAAGGCACAGCAUGUCUGGAACAUGAUGUUCAGCAUCUUUGAAAAGCUCCUUCGUAGAGCUCUCUGUGAGAAGAUCAACACCGGGCGAAACUAAUGUUGGAGGUGAAAACUACCCACGGUCCGCAGCAGAUAUCCCUGUCUGUCACUAGAUGGCAGCCGAAUGCAAUGACUGAAUCAGUGGCUUGCAGCUUCUUCUCUGAGUCUUGGGUUGCUUUCCUCCAAGGCUGUUAAAACUCCAGCUUCCUGGCCUCUUCAAAGAAUCACAGCACUGACAUCCAGGAGCUGGGAUUAAUUCUCUGUAAACAAACGAUUUUGAUCAAGACCUUCUCUGCCAGAAUGGACAGUUACUGUCAAGUGGUUUACACAGAGGUUAAAAGGAGAGAGAAGUUACGAGACUGCAAUGUGGCACGAUUGUCGAUGAUGCCCAGAAAGGGAUGGCCCAUCGAGGAGGUGGAAGCAGAGGCAGCGAGGAGCGGUUCCGCUGGCGGGUGAAAAUCUGGACCUGCAAUAUCAUCUGACGUGGAGAGUCCUGAGAGCGACUUCCAUCAGUUGAAUGUAACUGGGGAGGAGUUGUUUUUCUUUUUUACGAUUCCUUUUGGCCUCCCCUCAUCAGAGGCUCUGGUUAGGGCAGCUGUGGGCACUUGCCUUUACAGAGGGCCACUCGGCUUUACCCAGCAGUGUCAGGCGUGAGUUCUGUUCGCCCUGAGGCUGGUUGCUCCAGGAGGUGCUGGCUUCCUCUCCCUCCUGGAGACACACAUGAUUUCCUUGAAACACAGAGCACACAUUUCUCAUCUGUUAUUAAGGCAGAAUCCUGAGCAGAGAACAGUCCUGAGGUUUGCAAGUGCUGCAUGAGAGGCACAUAAAUUCUUCUGAUGCCAAGAGUGAAUUCCUCUUUCCCUUUUCUCUUUCCCCUCUUUUAUUACGUAAUUGAUCAGCAGCAUUGAUCAGAAAAAAUAUGCCUUGUUGACCAUAUUCUUGGUUGAAGAUCAAGGGUGUUGAUUUUCUGUACAUCAGUACCUGCAGCAGGUGCUAACUGGACGGGGUAAACCUGUUCAAUGUGCCACCGAGUGGACCCCGGAUGGCCACACCCUUGAAUGGUUCCAGCCUCUUCUUCCCCUCCAGCACACAUUUCUUUUCUCAACCCGGAUUUUGUCACUAUUGUGAGAAAAUUUUCCGUUGAAAGAUAACUGUGUCAAGGCUUCUAGGGUUUUAGUUUUGAGUGUUGAUAUAUUCCGCUUUUUAAUGUCGUUCUUUGUGUGUGUUUGGUCUUGGAGGUGGACCCGUGUUACUUUCACUGUGGUAAGCAGUGCUUGUUAUGGUGUGGGGGGAGGUCCAGCGUUUGUGGACAGCUGGCUGGGAAGUGCGUGAGGAGGCCCUGGCUCUGGGAUCUGGGAAUCCCAAGUCAGAGCCCCUGCUGUGGAGUGACUGAGCUGCCCUGUGACCGAGGGGCACUCUAGACGGCGGCCCAGUUGACUGGGAGAGUCUAGUCCAACCUGGCCUUUGCUCUGGUAGCUUUUCUAGGCCCCGGUUUUUAUUGAGGUUUCUCAGACACAUAACUGAGUAGAUUCCUUUCCCAUGACAUCUCCCCUCUUUCCUGCUUUUGCCUGAUGUUGCAUUAUAAUGGCGCACUGUCUUAUGACUCUUGGGGAUUGGGCGUCUUCACCUGUCCUUGCAACUACUUCAGUUCAGUCCAGUUUAGUCACUCAGUCGUCUCUGACUCUUUGUGACAAAUAAUGAGUUUUUUGUUUUUUUUUAGUGAGACCAAAAAGUUGGGAAUGUCUUCAGAUGAUUGACUGAUCUGACCAUCAGUGUACACGGAAGUGUUGAGAGAAGGAGUGAGGACGGUUCCUGCUCCCUUGAGAUUUUAUAAAUGGAAUCACCAGUCACCUAAUGUACAUUAUGUUGCUGUUCCCCACCCACUGACAGGUGGUGUUCAAGGUUCUCCCUGGGCUUGAGGGGUCCAUAAGUGCUGUAGAUUGAAUCAGUAUUGAGAGUGUGUCCUGGGACCUCUUGGGGACCAGGACCUCGGGUUGCCUGCUGUGGACUGAAUUCCCUGCCCCUCUCCCCCAUUCCUGUGUCAAAGCCCUAAUCCCCUGGGGUUAGUGCCCUUAUGAGGAAAGACCCCAGAGAGCUGGCUUCCUCUCUUGCCACCACUUGAGGACACACAAGGCUGCUAUCUCCACACCAGGAAGAGCGUCCUCACCAGACGUCUAGCCUCCAGAACUGUGAGAAGAUUUCUGUUGAGCCCCCUAGUCUAAGGCAUUCUGUAUGGCAGCCCAAGGAGGUUUGGACUACCGUGUCUGCAGAGGAACGCGGUGAUUUGGCCAGUAGGCCGUUUAUUUUGGGGGCUGGGGGAGUUUGGUUAACCCCUCUAGGUAGGUGUCCUGGGGACUUCUGUGGGCUCACAGUCACAGUCAUAGACACUUUUCUUACUUCUGGUUGGGCAUACCAAGUUUCCUCCCCGCUCUGCCCUGUAGGCUGUUACUAGACCCUGCUAAGAAAAAAGAUCCAAGGAAUUCAGCUAUUUUCUUGAGAUUUCUGUAUGUCUUGGAAAAAACAACAACAACCCAAUCAAUCAAUGACCAUUUAUCAAAGCGCCUUCCUGUGCUCUUAACGACACUCUUUUAUGGCUGAAGACAUACGUAAUUUUCAGCUCAAGAACCAGCAGGGUAAAACCUGGAAUUCCAGAUCUCUUAUCAGGAGUUGUAACAAGUCUGAGAUUGUACCCUGCUUGCAAGUUAACUGGUGAGCCUGCUGCAGCAUUAUGGUCGCUGGCAGGAGACGCAGGCGUCCUGGCUCCGUGGAAGGACUUUGUUCUCAUAGCAGUCGCGUGGCCAGAGAAUGAGCAUUUUCUUGGACAGGUUCAGUGUGCAGGGCCGGGGACACCUGUACUUGUAGCCGGUUGUAUUACAGGAGAGGAGCCAUCAGGGUGCCUGAAUUUUACAACGAGCAGUCAGAGAGCAAGUCUGUCUCUGUCUUCCAAGCCUGUUCACGAUAUGAACAUCCUUGAAAAAAAGUCCAGAACAAAGGCCGACAGUGCCUCUGCUCACCAGGUGUGCAGAAAUGUGAGAGGUCCAUGAGGAACUCCUGACGUCUUUCCCCAGGGCCCUGCGUUGACCCCUUGGCGGAGUGGCAGGUGGUGGUGGGUUAAGUCCUUGUUGAUGGACCAUUUGAAUCCUGAGACUCGGCAGGGAUAGUUGGGUAGACACAUGCUGCUGAUCUGUGCUGCACUGGGGGUACUUCUUGGGGAAUCGAGGUUGCCUGCUGGACAUUUUCUUGAAGUUGAUUGCAUUGACUUGUGGAUUCAUGUCUCAUUUUGAGUUAUGGGAGGGGAUUGCUAGGAGAGGGAAACACUGUGCUCACGAGGUUUCUCCCCUACAGAAAGAAAUUUAAGUUAAUCUAGUACAUGUUUAUUGGGCAUAUACAGCACACAGGGAAACUGGGGACAUAGAGGGCCAGAGGGCAUUAAUGACAUCCUGGGUCCACGCCCUCUGGAAGCAUUCAUCUGACAGGGAGGGGUCGUGGCCCUGAGGGAGAGCAAGCCCUGCAAACGUGAGAUGGGUAGCUAGGAGACAAGACUUGUGUGCCUACAGCUGGAGUUAUAUUACUUAAUGUUGGAUAACAAAGUACCUAAGAUUAGUGGCUUAAAAGAACAUUUAUGAUCUUGGUUUCUGUGGGUCAGGAACUUGGCAGUGGCUUAAUUGAGGAGUUCUAGCACAUGGUUUUUCAUCUUCGAGUCCAGAUGUCAGCCAGGGCUUUGAUCAUCUGAAGGCUUGGCUCGGGUUGGAGGAUCUGCUCCCAGGGGAAUAGAUCCCAGGAGGAUCUGCUCACAUGGAUGUGGGUGGGGGAUCCUGGUUCCUUGCCAAGUGUGCCUUUCUACUCACUGUUUGUGUCUUUUCACAAAAUGGCAGCUGACUUCUCCCAGAGUGAAUGAUCCAAGAGAGCUGCACAUCAGAGGCUGAAGUAUCCUUUAUGACCUGCCCUCCAAAGACAUCAUCAUUUCUGCAAUGUUCUGGUUGCACAAGCCAGUACUACUCAACACCAGGAAACAGAGAUCCCUGGCAACAAUUUGGGAGGCUGGCUACCACAGGGCCAGCAGAGGGACUGGGACUGGAGAACAGAGCCCUCAAUUUCCCUGUCUACUUUUUCUUUUAUUUCUUUUAAUUUUAAAGAUAAAAUAUGCAUAACAUAUUUCUUUAAGAAAAUUAGAGAUACCAAGGGAACAUUUCAUGCAAAGAUGGGCUCAAUAAAGAGCAAAAACAGC